GCCGGAGUGGCGGAAUGGCAGACGCAUACGACUCAAAAUCGUACGGGCAACCGUGCCGGUUCAAGUCCGGCCUUCGGUA
rnacentral:tRNA from 1 species